AUUGAACGCUGGCGGCAUGCCUUACACAUGCAAGUCGAACGGCAGCACGGGAGCAAUCCUGGUGGCGAGUGGCGAACGGGUGAGUAAUACAUCGGAACGUACCUGGUAGUGGGGGAUAGCCCGGCGAAAGCCGGAUUAAUACCGCAUACGACCUGAGGGUGCAAGCGGGGGAUCUUCGGACCUCGCGCUAUUGGAGCGGCCGAUGGCAGAUUAGCUAGUUGGCGGGGUAAAGGCCUACCAAGGCUACGAUCUGUAGCUGGUUUGAGAGGACGACCAGCCACACUGGGACUGAGACACGGCCCAGACUCCUACGGGAGGCAGCAGUGGGGAAUUUUGGACAAUGGGCGCAAGCCUGAUCCAGCCAUGCCGCGUGCGGGAAGAAGGCCUUCGGGUUGUAAACCGCUUUUGUCGGGGAAGAAACGGUGGGAGUUAAUACCUUCUGCUAAUGACGGUACCCGAAGAAUAAGCACCGGCUAACCACGUGCCAGCCGCCGCCGUAACAC
rnacentral:rRNA from 1 species